UACGUAGGGGGCAAGCGUUAUCCGGAAUCAUUGGGCGUAAAGCGCGUGUAGGCGGUUCCGUAAGUCCGCUCUGAAAGCCCAGGGCUCAACCCUGGGAGGCGGGUGGAUACUACGGAACUGGAGUACGGAAGAGGAGAUUGGAAUUCCUGGUGUAGCGGUGAAAUGCGCAGAUAUCAGGAAGAACACCCGUGGCGAAGGCGGCUCUCUGGGACGGUACUGACGCUGAGACGCGAAAGCGUGGGGAGCGAACAGG
rnacentral:rRNA from 1 species